CUGCUACCCCAAGGCAGGUGUUGGUGAGGCUGGGUGGGGAUAGGAGGGUUGGAGACCAUGCCUCUAUCUCAUGCAUCAACUAUUCAUCCUUCAAUCAUCUCCUCAUUCUUAUUUUGACUCUGUUUACUUCUUUCUGCUCUCCUGAGCAUUCAUCCAUCUAUGCAUCAGUUCAUCCACCCUUUCAAUCACCCAUCCAUUCAUCUAUUCGUCCAUCACUUAGCAGAAGGAUUGAUCAGAAGCCCCCAGGAUCUGGAGCCAUGAAACAGAUACCAGAGAGGAGACACAAUGCAACACAACAUAUUACUCGUGUGCUUAGACUAAAAAGUCAAUGAGUGCUUUCCACCUGCCAGGCACUCCUGCAUUUAGAGUGCAGUUCUGCCCUUAUUCUGAUCUUUUUGGAGCCUUCUGUAGUUCCGUUUUAUAGCAGAAAAAGCUGAGGCUCAGAAAGUGAGGUUCUAUGACUGACUGGCCGAGUUUGGAUUGGAGCUCAGAUGUGUGAAUGUAGGCAUCAUUCUCUUUCUUGAGUUCUCCACCCCAGGGCCCCAGAGCAGCUUAGCUUUCUGGGGUGGGUCAGGUCUAAUCUUGAUAGAAUGCAUUGAGCAAUUCUCUAUCUUUUGGAGUCUUAAUGUAUUCUUAGCCCUAGGAGUGAUUUAGUGAUGGGAAAGCACUGGUUUGAGAGUCGUGUGUUCUAAUCCCAGUUGUGACUCAAACUUUUGUGUGUGAUGUUUGUCUUUCUGAGCCUCAGCUUUUUCAUCUGCAAAAUGGGACUUUAGCCUCUAUUUUGCACAGCCAAACAGUACAUAAAUAUCAGAGAAGAGAUGGGAUAUAAAAAUAUUUUGUAAACUCUAGAAUGUUGUAUGUAGUUGAAAGGCUGCCAGGUACUGAUAACCUUGAGAAAAGAACAUGUCAGCUCCCAAGUCAAGUCUCUUACUCUUUCAUUUUUAUUUUUAACUUUAGACACAAAAAUGUUUCUUUUUUCUUGAACUACACACUUAAGAAGCUCCUAUUGAUAACCAAAUUAAUGUUCUUCUUUUGAAAAUAAUUUACAGUUUUUUGUUGAAGGUAUUGUAAGAAUCCAUUUCCAGCUUUAAGGACAAUUUCUCUCAGUUCCAUUUAUAUUUAUUUCUCUGGUUUUGGCUCUAUACAUUUGUGGAAAUUUUACUUCCAUUUUUGUGAAUAAUCUUUUUUUUUGUUUGUUUGUUUGAGAUGGAGUCUUGCUCUGUUUCCCAGACUGGAGUGCAAUGGUGUGAUAUUGGCUCACUGCAGCUUCUGCCUCCCAGGUUCAAGUGAUUCUCCUGCCUCAGCCUCUCAAGUAGCUGGGAUUACAGGCACACACCACCACGCCCACCUAAUUUUUGUAUGUUUAGUGGAGAUAGGGUUUCACCAUUUUGGUCAGAUUGGUCUUGAACUCGUGACCUCAGGUGAUCCGCCUGCCUUGGCCUUCCGAAGUGCUGGAAUUACAGUGGGCCAUUGGCCAGGUGUAGUCCACUGCACUCCAACCUGGGGCAACAGAGUGAGACUCCAUAUCAAAAAAAAAAGUGGACCAUUUACACUCAGUCAUCAUGAGAUGGAUACUAAUAUUCCAAGAAUUCUUCCAUCUCUAUGAGAACAAGCCCAUUUUAACUUUCCGGAGGAUAAAAUAGCAUGCUGAGGAAAGCCAAAGUGCGCCAGUUUACAGACAGCUCACUCCUAGAAGCAGAGCCACCUAAUUCACCAGCAGCUGACCACUCACACCUGAAGGAGCCAAACUCAGCCCAGAAGAAUGGCCCGGCUGAGCCCAGCCUAAACUUCUAACCAGCUCAAUCCUGAGCUAGUAUGUUUCGGGAUUGUUAUGCAGUUAUAGCUUAGUAAUACAUACACCCAUUAAAGACAGGAUUCCAGGAUUCCAGGACAGAUUGAUUGCUUAAUAAAUCCUACUCUGCUUUACUCAC